rnacentral:tRNA from 3 species
GCCGAGGUGGCGGAAUUGGUAGACGCGCGGGACUUAAAAUCCCGUUCACGCAAGUGAGUAUGGGUUCGAUUCCCAUCCUCGGCACCA